rnacentral:rRNA from 1 species
GACGAACGCUGGCGGCGUGCCUAAUACAUGCAAGUAGAACGCUGAAGGAGGAGCUUGCUUCUCUGGAUGAGUUGCGAACGGGUGAGUAACGCGUAGGUAACCUGCCUGGUAGCGGGGGAUAACUAUUGGAAACGAUAGCUAAUACCGCAUAAGAGUAGAUGUUGCAUGACAUUUGCUUAAAAGGUGCAAUUGCAUCACUACAAGAUGGACUUGCGUUGUAUUAGCUAGUUGGUGGGGUAACGGCUCACCAAGGCGACGAUACAUAGCCGACCUGAGAGGGUGAUCGGCCACACUGGGACUGAGACACGGCCCAGACGCCUACGGGAGGCAGCAGUAGGGAAUCUUCGGCAAUGGACGGAAGUCUGACCGAGCAACGCCGCGUGAGUGAAGAAGGUUUUCGGAUCGUAAAGCUCUGUUGUAAGAGAAGAACGAGUGUGAGAGUGGAAAGUUCACACUGUGACGGUAUCUUACCAGAAAGGGACGGCUAACUACGUG